rnacentral:rRNA from 1 species
CUACGGGUGGCUGCAGUGAGGAAUAUUGGUCAAUGGGCGCGAGCCUGAACCAGCCAUCCCGCGUGCAGGAUGACGGCCCUAUGGGUUGUAAACUGCUUUUCUAUGCCAAGAAACCCUGUUACGAGUAACAGGUUGCCGGUAGCAUAGGAAUAAGCAUCGGCUAACUCCGUGCCAGCAGCCGCGGUAAUACGGAGGAUGCAAGCGUUAUCCGGAUUCAUUGGGUUUAAAGGGUGCGCAGGUGGGCUUGUAAGUCAGUGGUGAAAUGCUGCCGCUUAACGGUAGAACUGCCAUUGAUACUGCGAGUCUAGAGUAUGGUUGAGGUAGGCGGAAUGUGUUGUGUAGCGGUGAGAUGCAUAGAUAUGACACAGAACGCCAAUUGCGAAGGCAGCUUACUAAGCCAUUACUGACGCUGAGGCACGAAAGCGUGGGGAGCGAACAGGAUUAGAUACCCUUGUAGUC